rnacentral:lncRNA from 1 species
AUGAUGGGAAUGUGGUGCAAAUCAGAAUAUAUACCUCCGAUGAAAAAAAAAAGAUACUGGAAAGAAACAUCCCUCCCAAAAAGGACAAGAUUUGAAGCACUCCUUCUGAAACACUUCCGGUUGGACAAGAAACAGUUCUUGGCCGUGCACCAAUCAGAGGCUCAGCCAGGAAAACUGUGCUUCAAAGUACUGGGAGGGAGGAAGCGCUCCCGGAAGAGACCGCCACUGCUGCCGGCCAGCCAGAACGUCCGGCUCAUCAAAGCCAGAGGCACUGCCACGGACAGUUGGGCCAUGGACUGCUGGGCGAAAAUAGCAGAAAUAGUGGUUGCAGUUUUGUUCCCUGAGCUCACUGUGCAACAAGGAAGGUGCAAGUGCCAAGCGACCAGACUGCAUCGAGAAGCUCAAGGGGAAAGAGACCACGCUUUGACAACCAUCUCUGAACUGAGGUCUUAAUGCGUUUUUAUUCCAUGUAAGGGGUAGGUUUUGUAGCCGAGGAUCUUUGCCUGGGGCAAGAGCCCAACAGGCUCAGGCUGCAAUCAAGGGCUCCUUGGCGCCAAAGACGGACCAGCAGCGGCCACAGCAGCUCAAGGCGCGCAGGGUGCGACCGAUCCACUCGAAGCAGCCAGAGACGAGCCCGUCGCGGCUCCACCGAGAGGGGGCAGGAGGAGACCGGUCCUCUGAAGGGGGCCCGCUGUCAGGGGUCUCGACGUCCUGCUGUCUGUCGCGGGGCCCAGUCGGUCUGGCCAACGCCAGCUGCUGAAGCAGGCGCCCGUCGGGUUCCGGUGCCGGGUCCCUCUCUCCUCCCGGUGCCAGUUGGGCUGGGCUUGGUUCCAAGGUGCUCGGGGCUCUGGGACCGAGUCGGUCUCCCACGAAGGGAAAAUGUAGGCGCCAGCAAGGACUGGAAAGCAAUUUGCAACCGAAAUCAUCGUGGUCGCCUGAGAACUCAUCCAGUACCGGGUAGAAAGGGAGCGGCCACGGCCCAGACUCUGCUAAGCACUCGCUGGGUGGAGGCUGGACCUCUGGCGCCACGUCUGCGGAGUUCCAGUCCUCCUUCACGCGGCCGAGAAAACGCUGCUCCAUCGCAGGGGACCUCGGGCCAGCAGCAGGCUGAGGGAGCUUUUGGACUGAUUGAGGAAUCAGCCUGCUGCAGGGCCAGGGGCCUGGGUAUUUAUGCACUCCUCGGCUUGUGGGCGGAGGCAAGCCAGACCUCAGGAAAACCGGGUUGUAGGAAACUCAAAAAUAACGACAACAUACACAGAAAGGAAUAGAAGUAAAUCGUAAGGCGCAUAGUAACCCGAGAUAAAUGGUUACGGUGAAAAAUAGUAACUUAGGUUUUUCUAAAAAAGAAAGGAAACCAAGAAAUCUAUAGCAAACAGGACCGAAUAAAAUAAUAACAUCCUAUAGCAAACCGAAAUAAAUCGUUCUCAUAAUAAUAAUAAGAAGAAACGUGAUGGGGAAAACAAGACAGUGAACCAAAACAUUCAUCUGAUUGAAAAAUACAAUGGGAGGGGAAAAACUGUAAAUCGAAAGAAAUCAUUCUAAUGAAAAUUUAAAAACGGGUAGAAAAUAAGAGUGCAAAUCGGUUCAAAUCGAAAUACAGCAUUCUGAUGAAAAGUUGUAAUGGGAGGAAAACAAAGACAGUGAACCAAAAUAAGUGGUUCUGAUGAAAAAUUGUAAACUGAGCAGAAAAAGAAAAAAGACGAAAGCACGGCAAAUUGGAUUAAAUCGUUCUAAUGAAAAACUGUAAAUGGAGAGGGGAAGCAGAGCAAAUGGAAAUAAAUCGUUUUGAUGAAAAGUCGUAAUAAGGAGUUCCCGUCGUCGUAGCGCAGCGGAAAAGAAUCUUGACUAGAAACCACGAGGUUUCAGUUCAAUCCCUGGCCUCAUUCAGUGGGUUAAGGAUCUGGCAUUGCCAUGAGCUGUGGUGUAGGUCUCAGACGCGGCUGGGAUCGCAUAGGCCGGCAGCUCCGAUUCGACCCCUAGCCUUGGAACCUCCAUAUGAGGACGGUGAGGCCCUAAAAAGCAAAAAACAAAAACAAAAACAAAUUGUGAAAGUGGGAAAGCGGUGUAAAUGGAACUAUACAUGGUUCUGAUGAUAAAAAUUACUGGGAAAAAACAAACAUUAGAAAAGACUGUGAACCAAAACAAAAAGUUCUAUUGAAAAAUUGUAAAUAGGAAAAAGAGAAAAUAGAAAUAAAUUGUACUGAUGAAAAAUCAUAAAGACAGGGAAAGAAACAAAAAAGGGGCACACAGACAUGAAAUUAAUCUUUCUAAUGAGAAAUGUUAACAUGGGGGGAAACUGGCCCAAAUUCAAAUGUAGCCUUCUGGUGAAACAACAUACUGGGAAUGAAACAAACUAAAAAAAGGCACAAAAAACCUGAAAUAUAUUGUUCUAAUAAAAAUUUGUUAAUGGGGGAAAUGGUGCAAAUCAAAAUAUAUCAUUGUGAUGAAAAAACAUGAGAGAAAAACAGAACAAAAAAUGUAAAAAGACUAAAUUAAAAAAUCAUUCUAAUGAAAAAUUGUAAAUGGGAAAAAAGCAGUACAAUUCAAAAUAUAUUGUUGUAAUGAAAAAAUGUAAUGAGAGAAAAACAAACCAAAGAAAUGAAAGUUAACCAAAACAAAUCAUUCUAAUAAAAAAAUUGUGCUAAUGAAAAAUUGUAAGGGGGGGCGAAGCAGACCAAGGUGGAAAAAAAAAUCACUCUGUUGAAAAUUCAUAACCAGAAGACAACAAACCAAAGAAAAGGGAAUUAUAAGGAAACUGGGCUGAAAACUAGCCCUAUAAAUCAUUGGGAACUGUUGCACCCCUGCUGAGACCCCACCCCCCACCCCUCAAUCCCCUGGAAAGUAACUAAGCAGCCACUGGCCCUUUGGGCUCUGUGCUGCCAGCCACAUGGACCAUGAGAAACUCGGAAAUGAGCAGUGAUUGCAGGCAGCACAGUGGCUCCAUAGCCAAAUACAAAAUAUCUGUUUGGGAGCGACUCAUGGUGCUGCCAGGAGAAAAUGAUGGCUUUCAGAAAGGGUCUGCAACAAAAACCAUCUCCCUGAGGAGCAAUAGCCCCUGAUACCUUAGAGCAAAACACUGUCUUGGUGUGAAAAUAAUUUAUUUUCUAUUUUCGUUUUUUUAUUUUCUAAUUUAAAAUUGUUAAAUUUCAUUAUUUUUCCAUUUUAUUUAUUGUACUCUUAUAUUUUACCUGCCUUGAUACGCAAUGAAUUUGUCAUUCAAUACGCUUUCCUUAUGUAACUUUAGGGGUUGAAAUUUUAACUUUAUUAAAAUAAUGAAAAUCCCUUGGAAUCACAUUAUCCAGCGUGUGGAGAUCCCAUCAUGGCUCAGUGGAAAUGAAUCUGACAAGUAUCCAGGAGGAUGCAGGUUCGAUCCCUGGCCUAGCUCAGUGGGUUAAAGGAUCUGGCUGUGGUGUAGGUCACAGACCAGGCUCAGGUCCCACGUCGCUGUGGCUGUGGUGUAGGCCAUUGGCUACAGCUGUGAUUCGAUCCCUAGUCUGGGAAGUUCCAUAUGCCAUGGGUACAGCCCUAAAAAGACAAAACAAAAACAAAAACAAAAACCAGACUUACUGGAGUUCCCACUGUGGCACAGCGGAAACGAAUCCAACUAGUAACCAUGAGGUUUCAGGUUCAAUCCCUUGCCAAACUCAGUGGGUUAAGGAUCUGACGUUGCCGGGAGCUGUCGCCGCAGGGGUGGCUCAGAUCCCCUCAUUGCUGUGGCUGUGGUGUAGGCUGACAGCUGUAGUUCCUAUUCGACCCCUAGCCUAGGAACCUCCAUAAGCCGCGGGUGAGGCCCUAAAAAGCAAAAAAUAAAAAACAAAAAACUCUCCAGUGUGCACACGCCCACGGUAAUUACCAAUUGUUUCUAUGGUUAAAAACGUCCUUAAUUUCACUUUAAACCCACUGUGUAUCAUGAUGCUUCUAACUAGAUUUGAGAUUGACCAGUUUCAACAGAAAAAGCCCCCAUCUAAUGCUACUACCGGCGUUGCGAAGGGAAAUAGAGGCUCAGAGAUAAUUUCAUUGUCCUAAUCUAAGGGUGUCAGGCACACACCAUCUGAGCGAGAGAUUCCAGAGAGCUACGGCUAAGGGGAGAGGUCGGGUCCGCCAAGGGAUGACUGGCUCUGGAGCUUCGACCCGCGCCAAAACCCGCUUGGACUUGCUGUUCUGAAAACGGAAUUGACUACGACUUAAAAAUCGCAGGGUAGACUAAAUCCCGUCUUGCCACCCUAAAAUAUCGCUCCAGCGGGCCUUGCUCUGACUAAGAAAUCUCCCACUCCAUAGGACUGAGAAUCACCGAGAAACGGCCUGUUUGGGGAGACUGAAAAAGAUGCGGCCGUCGAGAAAACCACUCCAAGCAAAUGCAGUCUGAGACAAAAAUACCUCGGCCUCAGCACAGCCAGAGAAAGUGCAAAAGCGAACAGGCUCCGUGCCAGCCCUGGGGCUGCGGCUAGAGAUUAUACGGGUGGAGGAUGAGACGGUGCUGGGACCCAGG